AACGUAACCCCCGAGCGUUAUCCGGAAUCAUUGGGCGUAAAGCGUCCGUAGGCGGUUUGGUAAGUUUGAUGUUAAAGAUCCCGGGCUCAACCUGGGAGAGGCGUUGAAUACUGCCAGACUAGAGGGUGUUAGGGGCUGAUGGAACACACGGUGUAGGGGUGAAAUCCGUUGAUAUCGUGUGGAACACCGAAAGCGAAGGCAUUCAGCUGGAGCAACCCUGACGCUGAGGGACGAAAGCUAGGGGAGAGAAUGGGAUUAGAUACCCGCGUA
rnacentral:rRNA from 1 species